AGUGGUUGUCGUCAGCUCGUGUCGUGAGAUGUUGGGUUAAGUCCCCGCAACGAGCGCAACCCCUAUUGCUAGUUACCAUCAUUAAGUUGGGGACUCUAGCGAGACUGCCAGUGAUAAACUGGAGGAAGGUGGGGAUGACGUCAAGUCAUCAUGGCCCUUACGGCCUGGGCUACACACGUGCUACAAUGGUCGGUACAAAGGGUUGCCAAGCCGCGAGGUGGAGCUAAUCCCAUAAAACCGAUCGUAGUCCGGAUCGCAGUCUGCAACUCGACUGCGUGAAGUCGGAAUCGCUAGUAAUCGUGAAUCAGAAUGUCACGGUGAAUACGUUCCCGGGCCUU
rnacentral:rRNA from 1 species